UACAGAGGUCCCAAGCGUUGUUCGGAUUCACUGGGCGUAAAGGGUGCGCAGGUGGUUUGGCAAGUUUGACGUGAAAGCCCCGGGCUUAACCCGGGAAUGGCGUUGAAAACUGCUUGAACUGGAGGGUUGGAGGGGGGACGUGGAAUUCUUGGUGUAGCAGUGAAAUGCGCAGAUAUCGGGAAGAACACCCGUGGCGAAGGCGGCUCUCUGGGACGGUACUGACGCUGAGACGCGAAAGCGUGGGGAGCGAACAGG
rnacentral:rRNA from 1 species